AGAGUUUGAUCCUGGCUCAGGAUGAACGCUGGCGGCGUGCUUAACACAUGCAAGUCGAACGGGAAGCGGUGUAUUUUUACUUUGGUAAUUUUGCGCCGUGGAGAGUGGCGAACGGGUGCGUAACACGUAGGUAACCUGCCCUGAAAUGGGGGAUAACCAUGGGAAACUGUGGCUAAUACCGCAUAAUCUCGCCGGGACGGGAGUACCGGUGAGGAAAGCUGAGGCGAUUUGGGAGGGGCCUGCGGUCGAUUAGCUGGUUGGUGGGGUAAAGGCCCACCAAGGCGAUGAUCGAUAGCUGUUCUGAGAGGAAGACCAGCCACACGGGAACUGAGACACGGUUCCGACUCCUACGGGGGGCAGCAGUGAGGAAUAUUGCGCAAUGGGGGGAACCCUGACGCAGCAACGCCGCGUGGAGGACGAAGGUUUUCGGAUUGUAAACUCCUUAUCUGGGGGAAGAGAGAGGACGGUACCCCAGGACGAAGACACGGCUAACUAGGUGCCAGCAGCCGCGGUAAUACCUAGGUGUCGAGCGUUAUCCGGAAUUACUGGGCGUAAAGGGUGCGCAGGCGGCGAUACAAGUCUGGCGUGAAAGCUUCUGGCUUAACUGGGAGAGGACGUUAGAAACUGUAUGGCUAGAGUGAAUGAGAGGGGGGCGGAAAUCCCGGUGUAGUGGUGGAAUGCGUAGAUAUCGGGAAGAACACCAGAGGCGAAGGCGGCCUCCUGGCAUUUUACUGACGCUGAGGCACGAAAGCGUGGGUAGCGAACGGGAUUAGAUACCCCGGUAGUCCACGCUGUAAACGAUGUGAACGAGGUGUGGGCGGUGUAGAAGCCGUCUGUGCCGGAGCAAACGCGAUAAGUUCUCCGCCUGGGGAGUACGGCCGCAAGGUUAAAACUCAAAGGAAUUGACGGGGGCCCGCACAAGCGGUGGAGCAUGUGGUUUAAUUCGAUGCAACGCGAAGAACCUUACCUGCCCUUGACAUCCUCGGAAUCAGCCAGAGAUGGCAGAGUGCCUUCGGGAGCCGAGAGACAGGUGCUGCAUGGCUGUCGUCAGCUCGUG
rnacentral:rRNA from 1 species